rnacentral:rRNA from 1 species
GACGUAGGGGGCAAGCGUUGUUCGGAAUUAUUGGGCGUAAAGCGCGUGUAGGCGGUCCGGUAAGUCCGCUGUGAAAGUCGAGGGCUCAACCCUCGAAUGCCGGUGGAUACUGUCGGGCUUGAGUACGGGAGAGGCGAGUGGAAUUCCUGGUGUAGCGGUGAAAUGCGCAGAUAUCAGGAGGAACACCGAUUGCGAAGGCAGCUCGCUGGAACGUUACUGACGCUGAGACGCGAAAGCGUGGGUAGCAAACAGG